GGUUAGUUGGUGUAAAGGCUAACAUCCCGGAUUGUCGAUCCGAAGACAAGGGUUCGAUUCCCGUACUAACCG
rnacentral:tRNA from 1 species